rnacentral:rRNA from 1 species
GACGAACCGUGCGAACGUUGUUCGGAAUCACUGGGCUUAAAGGGCGCGUAGGCGGGCCCCCUUGUCCGGGGUGAAAGCUUUCGGCUUAACCGGAAAAGUGCCCCGGAAACGGGGGGCCUGGAGGGAGGUAGGGGCGGCCGGAACUUCCGGUGGAGCGGUGAAAUGCGUUGAUAUCGGAAGGAACGCCGGUGGCGAAGGCGGGU